AAAAAUAUUUAAAUUAAUCUGUCUUCCUCCCACACACACACACAAUCCCUCCAAACAUAUUCACACACAAACACACACACAGCACCCUCACACUCACAGCACACUCACACACACACACAGCACCCCACACACACACAGCACACACAUCACAUUCACACAGUCACACAGCACACUUACACACACACAUAGCACACUCACACAGCCACACUGUACCCUCACACAGCACCCUCACACACACACACACACACACACAGCACACUCACACAGCACCCCCCACACACAUGCACACACACAGCAUCCCCC